rnacentral:lncRNA from 1 species
AAUCCUAAUUUGUCUUACUCCCUCCACUUGAUCUUAUAUUCUUGUUUGGCGAUGGAGAACCACUAGCAACAUCCGGUGCCUAGAAUAAGUUAAAAUAUGUUUAAAGUUAAUUGUCAAUAUCCAAAAUAGUCCAAAACAAUCAUUGUUAUAAUGCGUAUGAACUUAUAUCAAAUUGACAAAUUAAAUCAUUGGGAUAAUAAAAUAAAACUAGGUUAAUAAAACUAAAAUAAGAGAAAAAAUAUCUUAAUAUUUUAUAGAAAAAAAUAGAUCAAUAUAUAGUUUUUGAAUUAACAAACAAUGUUAGUAUAUCUUUGAAUAAUUUUAAAUUCUUAACUUUUUUUUUAUUUGGAUGCAAGCUUGACAAACUCAUUUAUAUGUUAAAUUGAGGAUACAUACGUUAUGUAAAUUUAAAUAUAAUAAAAUACAAACCAACACAAGUAACUAAUAAUGUUUCUUCUGAUAUAAGAAUUAUAAGUUUUGAGAUUUCAACCCCAAUCAUAAAGUAUUACAUGAGCAACUAAAUUCAAAGAAUAGUAAUACCACUUACCCGUAUGAUAAUUGUCAUCCUAGUAAAUUCAUCCAGAGAACCAACUCUCUGUACCAGGAUUUAAGCCAUGCGACCCUAAUCUACAAAAUUCAAAAGUAUCACUGCUCGAGUUAGAAAAUGAUAAAUGAAUAAAAAACUUUGCUUUUUGUGUCAAAGUAGUAGUUAAAAAUGAGGCACAACUCAAUUAAUCAACAUAACUGCUAGCUAAUAGGUUUAUCAACCCAAAAAGGGUUUAUCAACCCAAAAAGAUAGAUUAUAAGAAAGAUAUAGUGGAUGGUGGCUGCAAUAAAUUUUACGCAUACAGAAAUUUGUUUCAGUUUUCUUCUUUAUAUAUAUAUACAUUACUUCAAUUUGAUAAGAACCAUUAAGCAUGCUUUUCUUUCAAAAUGCGAUGGACUGAAGUUUAGAUAAUUUUUCUCAAUAUUAAUUACAUCAACUUUCUUCUUUUAUAAUUCUAAAUUUGUAUCCCAGUCCCAGCUUGAACCUAUAUUAACUAUAUAAUAAUAGUAAACAUCAAAAGGCAUAUACGCAUACAUAACCACAAGUUCACUUAUUUCUAAUGAAGCACAUGGGAAAAAAUUAACAUCAUGUUCUUAGACCCCAAUGUAUUGAUGGCUUGGACAUGCAUAAUGAUAAAUACUUCAAGCCGUAAUAGAAACUUUUAAAUAUCUAUGAUAACAACCUUAAUAUUGCUCCUCAACAAGCAACGCCUCUAGCUCUUUCUCUUUUGCAUCUCUUAUAUUAAGCAACACUUUCAAUGAUUCCUGAAAAGGGAAAUAGUUAAUGCAUGUGUCUUGGGAAUAACUCUGCAAGAGANNNN